UGAAAGCAGAACAUGGUGGUGUUCCAGAAGCCAAGAGAAGGGUGUGCUGAAAAAGAGCUGGCCAAAUGCCACCGAGUUAGAAGCCGGACAUGUCACAGUAGAAACAAUUAUUCAGAGAGUGGCCACUUAGGGGCUCCUCUGGAGGUAUAACACGAUUCCUGACCCACUAACAGCCUUUGCUGUUCAGAGUACUCAUAGGAGACCACUAAGUUUGGAUGCGUUUUCAGCUGUAACUGAACCAACCAGCUUAUCAGCUUCCAGCAUUUCCCUGCAGCAAUGGACAACUGUCUGGUAUAGGAAGCAACAGAAGGAAGACUCACUGCUCAAGUUUUCCCGACGUUUGCUCAGUUCGAGGCCAUCACCACUGCAUUUGGAGCAAGCAAGGCAUCUCAAAAGUUCAGGACUCCUUUGUUGUGAGGGAUAGACAGCAGGAGACGACCACAUGCUGCUUCCCUGACAUAAAGUGAUUUGGGGACUUCUUGGAUGUUGCGUAUUGCAUUGAUGGCUUCACUUUAAGAAAACUCAAUAAUGAAAAAAAUAAAUGGAAAUCUAAAUUCUUGA